CAAGACAUGUGUAUAGUGUAUAAUACCAUCAGCCAAAGACGUGUGUAGACCUUUUGGUCCACUUUUGGAAUCGGUCCGGGUUUAAUAAACACAUUCAAGUAUUUUUCUCCUACCCCGUUUUUACUACUCCGCCUCACCUUUUCAUCUGGUUCUUUCUUCCAUCUAUAUACUUUGGCGUCGUUUAAAUAGAUUCCUCUCUCCGUGUGCACCACUCGAAAGUGAGCCCGUGCCAAAUCGGCCCCUCAAUAACCUCCUACCGCCCAAUACAUCACCCGUCACUCCCCCUAAAAAGCGGCUACUGAUCCUAAAGAUCCUGUCCUAAGAGUCUCAGAUCAACUGCAACCUCCAGCCCUUCUCGGUCUCAAAUCGUUUGCCAGUCUUCAUUCCGCGUGCAGAGUUUCAGUUUCGAGUAGCCCAAAAGAAGAGCCCCUCGUUUUUCCCAAAUUUUUUGUUAGUGUGAAGAAUUUUCACAUUCAGAAGCGGUUGAAUAAAAAAAGUCCGUCUAGUAAAAAGGGGAGAAAAAAUGAACAACCCAGAGCACGCCCAGGCCAAAUCGCUCAUCAUCAACUACGUCGUCAUCAUUCUGCUUCUAUCUCUCCUCUGGCUCCUCUACGAAGGGAUGUAAAGCAGUUGCGCGUACACCAUCACGAAGAGGGUCUUGGGGCAUCAGAGGGACAAGACCGUGCGUAGUUCAUUUCCGUUGGCUCUUCCUCCAAUAACAUGGGUCAACUAGAAGGUAACAAAAAAAAACAACACGAAACGUCACGCCGUUUAUACAUACUUCAUCGGCCGGAUUCUCUCAAUUUUGCCUUGAUUUUUGCGUGACAUCUUUUCAAAAACGGUCGGGAAUGCUGUUUUUAUCUUUUAUUUUGGAGAAUUUUUCCCUCUUUAUAUUUCUACUCUGAAUGUCCCCUUUAACUUGAUGUGUCUCUCUCGUAUAUUUCGAUAACUGUUAGACAGUUCUUCAAUGCCCGACAUCAUUGAGCUCCGGCAGCCAUCGCACUACUUCUUUUCUCAACUGUACACGCCUCAAAUAAAAAAUAAAAAAUAAAUCCCACCUCUGUCUUCCUGCCCUCCUUAUCAACGCAUGAUGAUCCAACAGUUUUUAUUGUGCGUUUUGUUUGUGUUUCUUUUCAGUUCGCAAACAAGACAGUUCGUGUGCAACCCUCUCGACUGCUUGUAAAAGAAAAAAAAAUUUUCCUCCGCUUAAUUUACGAUGAUGAGUGGCUAAAAUCGAACACGUAGGGCCUGAAGACUAUGUUCUUCUUUAACAUCAUCAUUAAGAAAAAAGGGGGGAACUUUUUGGCUUGUCUCUCCCGUUUUUCUUUUUCAUCUCAUUUUCCCUAUUUUUAGUUUAUAUAGACUCAGUGUUUUCGCAAACUACUGAACAUUUCAGUUUCUAUUUGUCCCCAGCCUGAUGAACUAUAAAACCUUCAACAAAGACAAGAAAAAAAAAGAACAAUUCAAUCAUGAAAAUCCUAUUACUAUGUAUGCAACAAUACACACAAUGUCUCAGUC